CUCUUCGCUGCUCCGUAGUGACGGGGAUUGUUGUGUUGCAGAAAUCCGGCAAUCGACCUGAGGACUUGCGUGCCGCUCAGCUCCCGGGACGUUUGGAGAUCUUUCCAGCAUCUCGGGAUCAGAAGACUCAGACUCAGCCAGUGAGGAGGACUUGCAGACACUGGAUCGGGAGAGGGCUACAUUUGAGAAGUUGAGCCGACCCCCAGGCUUUUACCCUCAUCGAGUUCUUUUCCAGAAUGCCCAGGGCCAGUUUCUUUAUGCCUACCGCUGUGUCCUAGGCCCUCAUCAGGCAAGUGACAGUACAGGUUGCAUGGCUAACCCCAGCCUUUUGUACACCCAGCCUAGAUUUCCCUUAGCCUAGUGCAUUUCUCCCUGCUUCUCUUCCUUCCUGUUGGUUGUGGGUAUCACGCUUGACAACAUAGUCUUGAAUUGAAACUGGCCUGAAUUGUGGAAGGGUUAAGUGUAAUGGAAUUAAGUUUGGAAACAAACCAAUUUAGGUUUGAAUUGUGAUUCUACCACUUCAUCUUGACUGCCUCGCCAAGCCUCAAAUUUCCUUGUCAAAUGGAAACAAG
rnacentral:sRNA from 1 species